AGUGAACGCUGGCGGUAGGCCUAACACAUGCAAGUCGAACGGCAGCACAGUAAGAGCUUGCUCUUACGGGUGGCGAGUGGCGGAUGGGUGAGGAAUACAUCGGAAUCUACUUUUUCGUGGGGGAUAACGUAGGGAAACUUACGCUAAUACCGCAUACGACCUACGGGUGAAAGCAGGGGAUCUUCGGACCUUGCGCGAUUGAAUGAGCCGAUGUCGGAUUAGCUAGUUGGCGGGGUAAGGGCCCACCAAGGCGACGAUCCGUAGCUGGUCUGAGAGGAUGAUCAGCCACACUGGAACUGAGACACGGUCCAGACUCCUACGGGAGGCAGCAGUGGGGAAUAUUGGACAAUGGGCGCAAGCCUGAUCCAGCCAUACCGCGUGGGUGAAGAAGGCCUUCGGGUUGUAAAGCCCUUUUGUUGGGAAAGAAAAGCAGCAGGUUAAUACCCCGCUGUUCUGACGGUACCCAAAGAAUAAGCACCGGCUAACUUCGUG
rnacentral:rRNA from 1 species